UUGGAACUGAUAAAGAUGUUUUUGGGC
rnacentral:piRNA from 1 species